AUAAUCUAUAUCAUUCACCUGCAGACUUAAUUUACUAUAGUGGGCUUGUUAUGAUUGGUUAUUUAAUUGUCAUAUCCUUGCACAUCAUUAUCAUUAUUUAUUCUUGAGUUGGUAUUAUAAUUCUGUAUCCCUAUAUAUGCAUUCUGAUAUCUUUGUAUGCUUCUGGACAGAAAAACCAUUUGUCUGGCUUGCACAAACCUUAUUUGAAGCUAUCUUUUGACACGGUUCAACAAUUAAUUGAUGUGAAGAGUGACCUAUUGCAUGUCGUUCAAAGAAACCAGGAAAAAUUUGAUGCUGCAGAAGCAUAUGAGUCCAUUAUAGCAGGGAAAAGAGAACAAAGGCCUCAAGAUUUUGUAGACUGUAUUGUUGAUCUCCGCGAAGACACUGAGAAAUUGAUGACUCAGAUGUACGAUGUGGGCAAUGGUAUGACGUUAGUAUAUCCAGUACUGGUCUUAUGCUGGAAAAGAGGACAGAUCUUUUGCAACGUGCUGAAGUGCAUGUUUGUGCAUUUGUUAUUGAGACUACAAAGCUUCCUUUGAAAUUUCCUGAUGCUGAAUACGAUUUAAUAAUGAUGAUUUCGUACAUGGUUGAUGGACAAGGGUACCCGAUUAUUAACAGAGAGCUUUCCUGAUAAGAAAAGAGUUGGGGGAGAUAACGUGGAUAGUUCCUUUGAAGCCUCAGACCGAAUAAAGAUGGAUAUGGGGCACUUAGAGGACCAUAUCAAAACCAAUAAGAAGCAAUCCCCUAAGGCUGAAGUUCAAAAUUCUUUAAAGCAAGAGAUUCUACAACUUGAGAAGAGAUUACAAGACCAAUUUGAGGUCCGCCGGGCUUUGGAAAAUGCAAUGGGAUAUAGGUCUUCCUCUCAGGAUAAUACAACUGGAACAGUAAUGCCCAAGCCAGCCACAGAGUUAAUCAAGGAAAUUGCAGUGUUAGAGUUGGAAGUAGUGUAUUUGGAGCAAUAUCUUCUCUCCUUGUACCGGAAAGCAUUUGACCAACAAAUAACUAUAUCUCCAUCUUCCAAGGAUGACAGAUUAAAAUCACCUAUAAAUACUCCAAGAGCAAGGAUCCACAAAGCUUCCAGACUUGAUAUUACAUCAAAGAGGGAAAGUUCAGUUGCACAAACUGGUUGUCAGUCGCUUGACAACCCAUGGAAGGAAUCCAAUGGAAUUGGUGGGGAGGAGAAGCUAUUAGAUUCUGGUGUUCAUCGCUGUCACUCCUCAUUAUCUCAACGUUCAGUGUAUUCGACUAGGACUUCACCUCCAGUUGAUUCUUUGUCUAAGGCUUUACGCGCUUGUCAUUCCCAACCUUUGUCCAUGAUGGAGUAUGCUCAUAAUACUUCGUCAAGUAUAAUCAGUCUGGCAGAGCAUCUCGGUACCCGCAUCUCUGAUCAUGUUCCAGAAACACCUAACAGGCUUUCUGAGGAUAUGAUUAAGUGCAUGUCAGCCAUAUAUUGCAAGCUAGCAGACCCGCCUUUGACACAUAAUGGCCUGUCAUCUCCCAAUUCGUCUAUGUCAUCGAUGAGUGCAUUUUCUCCACAAGAUCAGUGUGAGAUGUGGAGUCCAGGGUUCAGGAAUAAUUCUUCUUUUGAUGUACGCUUAGAUAAUCCUUUCCAUGUGGAAGGACUCAAGGAGUUCAGUGGACCAUACAGCACCAUGGUUGAAGUCCCUUGGAUUUACAGAGAUGGUCAGAAACUGGGUGAUACUGAACAUCUGCUACAAAAUUUCAGGUCCCUUAUUUGUCGAUUAGAAGAAGUAGAUCCUAGGAUGUUGAGUCAUGAAGAGAAGCUAGCAUUCUGGAUUAACAUACACAAUGCGUUGGUGAUGCAUGCAUAUUUGGCUUAUGGGAUUCCACAAAACAAUGUAAAGAGAGUUUUUCUACUCUUAAAGGCAGCAUAUAACAUUGGGGGUCACAUCAUCAGUGCAGACACUAUACAGAGUUCUGUCCUAGGUUGCAGAAUGUCUCGUCCUGGGCAGCCAAAUUUAAAUGCAUCAUCCACGGUUUUCUUAAGUGAGCGUGCUGUUCCUGUUGCAAUAUUUGAAACUGAUGCUGAAAUAAUGAAGCAUUAUGUGCGGAGAUGGUGCAAGAUUUCAUCAGAUGUGGGCAUUCGAUCCAUUAUUGACUGGUCUUAUUACAAGCAAAGGCUUAGUUCAGCAAUUCAGAAAGUUAUUACCAUUCCUGCAGCAAUGCAAAAGGUUGCGAAUCCCGUCCCUAGGGUACUGCAUCCUGAUUGGCUGCAUAAGAAGGUUCGUGAGAAGGAGGACAAGUUUCGACAACGCAAAUUAGUUGAUAUCUUCAGCUCGUUGAACAGGGAUGCAUUUUUGAAAAAGAAUAGUGAUGCUGCUGGCGCCAAUGGUGUGAUGAAUGAAGAAAUUGUUAAAGACUUGGAGGACUUUGGAAACAAAAGCAGAAAAUCUCCUGCAGACUGGGAGGAUAGGGAAUAUAUUGAUGAUCCUAGUGAGGUUAAACCUGAGGGUUAUGAUUCAAUUCCAAAAGAAAUUCCAGACCCAAAAGCUAAAGAGCCUGAUAACUGGGAUGAUGAAGAGAAUGGUGCGUGGAAACCCCCAAAGGUACCUAAUCCAACGUAUAAAGGACCAUGGAAGCCCAAGAAAAUUAAGAACCCCAAUUAUAAAGGAAAAUGGAAGACUCCUUGGAUUGAUAAUCCAGAGUUUGAAGAUGACCCUGAUGUUUAUGGGCUUAAGCCAAUUAAGUAUGUAGGAAUUGAGGUUUGGCAGGUAAAGGGUGGGUCAGUUUACGACAAUGUUUUGAUCUGUGAUGACCCAGAUUAUGCAACACAAGUUGUGGAAGAAGUAUUUGCAAACAGGGAGAUUGAAAAAGAGGCCUUUGAGGAAGCAGAGAAAGUGAGAAAAGCACGAGAGGAAGAGGAAGCUCAAAGAGCAAGAGAAGAAGGUGAAAGGAGGAGAAGAGAGCGGGGUUCUGAUCGACGGUACAGGGAUAGAUAUAAGGACAGAUACAGAAGGGACCGUCGUGAUUACAUGGAUGAUUACCAUAAAUUUCUACUGAACAAACGUGAAAUGGAGUUGUUGAAGUUAGAAAACAAGGUUAGGUUUAUCCUUGCAGUUGUGAAGGGAGAGAUCAUUGUAAGUAAUAGGAAGAGAGCUGAUCUGUUUGUUGAGCUGCAAACAAAAGGUUUCACUCCUUUUCCAAAGAAAACUAAAGCUGUUGAGCCAGAAGUUGCUGGUGCAACUGAUGAUACAGAAGAAACAGAAGUGAAAUCUCCUGCUGACAGCAGUAGUAAUGGGGUACAGAUAAGUGAUUAUGAGUAUCUACUGGCCAUGGCAAUUGGAAGCUUGACCAUUGAGAAGGUUCAGGAGUUAUGCGCUGAAAGGGAUAAGGUCAAUAAGGAGGUUGAUGAUUUGAGAAAGGAAACUCCAAAGUCCUUUUGGAGGACAGAUCUUGAUGCUUUGGAGGGGCAACUCGAUUGAUGUGAGUCAGAGGAGUUAAGAAAGAAAAUGAGAGGCAAAGCAAGGGGUGAAGCUGCUAUGAAGUCUGCUAGACAAGCACCCAAGAACCCACGCAAGAACAAUAAUAAGAAGGCAAAUAAUGCAGAAUCUGUUGCAGAAGCUGUCUCGUCAUCUGUGGCUGCAAUGGAAAUUGAGAAAGCUCCUGAGGCAGCAAAACCCAUAGACAGAGCAGGCUCUAGGAAAGCUCCUGCUAAGGUCUGUUUCUGUUCCUAUGUUCUAUUUUUCCUUGGAAAGGAUGAGCUUAAAGAACGACUUGCUGCCUAUAACCUCGAUGCAUCUCCUGAUCAAUCAGCCGCCAUGGAGACUGAAGUGCCCAAAGUACCAGCCAAGAAGAAAGAACCUAGCAAAAGGGCUGCUGCUGCACAGAAGAAGAAGCCCUUGGCAACUGUUUCGGAGAUAUCUGAUGAUGAUGAUGAUGAUUAUAAUGAUAUUAAUGAAAUUGAUGAUGAUGAUGAUGAUGAUGAUGAAGAUAGUGAGAUAGAAGUUGUAGCUACUCCAGAAACGAGGAAAAAGGGCGGGGGAAAACUGGCUGCAAAUGCUAAGGCAGUUAAGGCCCCUGCAGCGGCAAAGAAGAGAGGUGCAGCGAAUAAGCAGCAGCCUCAGACAUUGGCCCAGAAGCUUUUAACUGACAUGUUAAAGCCUGCUGAAAAUUCCAGGAUUUCACUGGAGAAGAAAGUGAGAAAGAUGAGGGCAUCUCCAUUCAACAAGAAAAGUGGUUCUGUGUUGGGAAGGGUUGGUAAGGUAAAUGAAGUGACUGAAAAUGAAGAAAAUUCCGGUUCUGCUUCUACUUCUGCCAGUACUGAAGAAACUAUUGAAGUUGCACCAGCAAGAGCAAGACCUCAAAGGGUGAACCAAGUUAGAAAACAAGGUAUGUGUUGAGUGACUCUGAAAGUGAACAUGCCACUGAGGAUUCUGAAUUUGAUGAAGUGACUGAUGAAAGUGAAAACAAGAAAACAAAAACAAAAAACAAAAAUAGCAUCACCUCUUUUGCUUGCUAAGCUUAACUUCUUUUUGUGC